AUGGCCACAGCCGUGCUCCGCUGCCCGCUGCUCGCCUCGCCUCUCCCGGCCGGCGGCGGCGCCGCCGCCUCGUGCUCCGGCUCCUCCCGCCCCACGCGCUUCCUUCUCCGGCGGCGAAGGUGCCCGAGCCCCCUGCUCGCCGUCUCCUCCGACUCCUCCAAGCCCCUCGCCUCCUCGUCGACCGGCGGCGGCGGCGACCCCGACGAGGAGCCCGUCCUGCCCCUCCUCCAGGAACUCGCAGAUUGCUUGGUGCUCCCGCCCAAAUUCCUGUCCCUGCUGCCUCGCGACCUUCGCCUCGAUCUGAAUGACGCGGCAUUCGAUCUCUCCAACGGGCCUGUUCUGAAUGAGUGUGGCCAAGAAGUCGGUGAUCUGCUGCUGGACCUGGGAAAAGCAUGGGAGAUGGCUAACACAGAAGCAUCAAAUAACCUUGCCAAGCAGCUGCCGUCAAUGGCGCCCUACUUGACUGCCAGCGCGAAAUCAGCAUUUGGCAAGCGGCUGGCAUCAGCUGGAAAGAAGUUUCAGACCAUGGGGCAGUAUGGCAAUGGAGAGUUCAAGAAGAUUUCUGAAACAAUGAUCAAGAUCGGUAAGGUUCUAUCGAAACGCCCAGUGAUUCAAGCUGAAGUAGAGGCCACGAAAGAAAAACGAAAGCUAAAGUUUGCAGGAGCUGAAUUCGAAUUGACAGCGCAAAAUGCAUACAUCGGUGCUGCAGUUGGACUGGUUUUCGGGUUUUUCUCCUGGCAGCUGGCCCAAGGCGUGCAAAGCAGUCCAGACGACAGCCAGCCGCUCAAGGUCCCGCUGCUGCUUCUCGGCUACACUUCGACGGCCCUGUCCGCGGCCGCGGCGGUGGGGCUCGUGGUGCUGGCCCUGCAGAUGAACCCCGAGGACAAAUCGGACUAA
rnacentral:rRNA from 1 species